CCUACGGGGGGCAGCAGUGGGGAAUAUUGGGCAAUGGGCGCAAGCCUGACCCAGCAACGCCGCGUGAAGGAAGAAGGCUCUCGGGUUGUAAACUUCUUUUAUCAGGGACGAAGCAAGUGACGGUACCUGAUGAAUAAGCCACGGCUAACUACGUGCCAGCAGCCGCGGUAAUACGUAGGUGGCAAGCGUUAUCCGGAUUUACUGGGUGUAAAGGGCGUGUAGGCGGGAAAGCAAGUCAGAUGUGAAAACCAUGGGCUCAACCUGUGGCUUGCAUUUGAAACUGUUUUUCUUGAGUACUGGAGAGGCAGACGGAAUUCGUAGUGUAGCGGUGAAAUGCGUAGAUAUUAGGAAGAACACCAGUGGCGAAGGCGGUCUGCUGGACAGCAACUGACGCUGAGGCGCGAAAGCGUGGGGAGCAAACAGGAUUAGAUACCCGGGUAGUC
rnacentral:rRNA from 1 species